CCUACGGGAGGCUGCAGUGGGGAAUAUUGGACAAUGGGCGAAAGCCUGAUCCAGCCAUGCCGCGUGUGUGAAGAAGGCCUUCGGGUUGUAAAGCACUUUCAGUGGGGAAGAAAGCCUUGGGGCUAAUACCCUCGAGGAAGGACAUCACCCACAGAAGAAGCACCGGCUAACUCCGUGCCAGCAGCCGCGGUAAUACGGAGGGUGCGAGGCGUUAAUCGGAAUUACUGGGCGUAAAGCGCGCGUAGGCGGUCUGAUAAGCCGGUUGUGAAAGCCCCGGGCUCAACCUGGGAACGGCAUCCGGAACUGUCAGGCUAGAGUGCAGGAGAGGAAGGUAGAAUUCCCGGUGUAGCGGUGAAAUGCGUAGAGAUCGGGAGGAAUACCAGUGGCGAAGGCGGCCUUCUGGACUGACACUGACGCUGAGGUGCGAAAGCGUGGGUAGCAAACAGGAUUAGAUACCCGGGUAGUC
rnacentral:rRNA from 1 species